AGAUGAAGUUGCUGGGAAGGCUUCUCCAUCAGCUUGGAUGAAUAAAGUUUUGAAGCCCUUGGAGCCUCCUGCAGAUGUAUCUACAGGGAGGACUUCUCCAGCUUCUCCAGCUCCUACCUUGGAUGCUAUACGCAAGCCCAGCUCCCAUCACAGUGGUACUCCAACAGGGAAAGUCCAAGAUACAACAGAUAAGAUGUCCCUGCAACCAUCCAAACAGAUUAGGCAAGAGCUGAAGGAACCCCUGCAGACAAGAGAAGGUGGG